AUGCACAGAAAGCUAAGCACAUCCUUAAUAAGCAGGCCCAGAUUAGUCUCAGGUCUUGAGGACUCAGCUUCCUCACCCAUAGACAGUAGGAGGUCUUCAUUGCUGAGAAGAUCGAUUCAGGUCUCACACACAGUUCAGUUCAGUUCAGUCACUCAGUUGUGUCCAACUCUUUUUAACCCCAUGGACUGCAGCAUGCCANGCUUCCCUGUUCAUCACCAACUCCCAAAGCUUGCUCAAACUCAUGUCCAUCGAGGACUCACACACAGUAAGCCUCAAAAAUCAUGUCCUCUUUCUACACCAUAAAGCCACACAAGAUAAAAUAAAAUUACUUAGUUGUAGGAACUUUUUCACUUUGUUGGUUUUCAAGCAUAUUCUCGAUUCAUUAUCAUUUGUUUAAAAUUUAAGUGUGUAUGUUUCUCCCUUUAGGAGACUACUUCUCCAGUUUCCUUGAUAAAGUUCAAAGUAGAAGCUUUAAAUACAUUGAGGUUCUUUAUCUAGGAAUAAUCUAUUACAGAAAAAUCAGGGCAGACUCAGUUUUUCUGGUUUGAAAUGUAUACAAUUUGGGGAUGCUGUUUAUGAAAAAGAAUAAUUAUGAAUAUAAAGUUAGAAAUUUGAGAUAGAAAAUUGAAUAUAGGGCUGCACAAGUGAGGGGGCUCUGAAGUUUCAUAAACUUCAAGGUAAAUCCACCUCUGAUAGCAGUUUUAACAUNNNNNNNNNNNNNNNNNNNNNNNNNNNNNNNNNNNNNNNNNNNNNNNNNNNNNNNNNNNNNNNNNNNNNNNNNNNNNNNNNNNNNNNNNNNNNNNNNNNACUUCAAGGUAAAUCCACCUCUGAUAGCAGUUUUAACAUUAAAAGCAUCAUCUACUAGUUUCAUUUUUAAUGCUUGCAGCCUGAAAAAAUUGGAUUGGUCAAAAAGUUCAUUUGGUUUUAAGUAAAAAUAUAAAGAUGCAUUUUUUAUUUUUACCAAGAACUUUAUUGAACAACAUAUUCACUAACCAAAUGAACUUCUUGGCCAAACCAAUAAUUUGUACUAAAAGGAAGGCAACACAGUACUGUGUAAUACUAUGAAAGCAGAAUUCUUCUUACUCAAAUAAUUUUACAUGUAUAAAAUACCAAAGAAAUCCUAGAGCCAAUGUCUCUAAUAAUGUCAAGAAUUCUUAAAUGAAUAAACUAUUCUCAAAAAUUAAUUCUUGUAGCUUGCUUUGUUUAUAGCAGUAACUACUUAAGUGUAGAUAGAACUUUGUAGGAACUUAUCAGAUCUAAAAAAAACCAUAAUUCUUAAGUAGAAGACAUUAGUCUUGAUCAUAAAGAGACUCUUCUUUUUAGAGGAAACAGUUUUAUCACCUAACAUUAUUUCUUCAAAAAUUCUUGGAAAAUAAAAUUACCAUACAUCAAGAGAGGUGUGUGAUAUUAAUAGUAAAUCUAGUAUCUGUUAUUGUAGCCAAUCUAUAAUUCAAGACUAAUCCUAUACAUUUAAUGACAUACAAAUUUUAAACAUUUCAUAAAUCAAAAUAACUUUCUGACAACAGCCAUUGUCUAUACUUAUUUUUUACUCUCAUUAUUUUUUACUCACUUUUCAACCUGCUGCAAUCUGGUUUUCACUCCCACAGCUCCAACUAAACUUCUCUUUUCAAGGUCAAAUACAACUUUGUUUCUAAAUCCAGCUGACAUUUUUCAAUGCUUGAAAUCCACUUACAUAGCACCAUGCAGCCCAGGUUGCCUAGUGUGGCAAACAAGGCCUCAAAAUCCAGCCCCAGCUUAUCCCUCCAGCUUCAACUUCCUUUUCCUCCACUACUUGAUCUCUCAACUCCAUUUAUAUUGCAUUGCUUACAGCUUUUCUGGAGGCUCUCUAAGCCUUAGUGAAGGGUCAUUUGCUCCCUUGUUGGUGACUAGCUUGACUUAUCCUCCAAGAUUGCCGUAAAUGUCCCUCCUUUUGGGAAACAAGUCUUCCUUGGCCUCCCAAAGUGAGGUGAAUUGCCUCUUCCUGUGGUCUCUGUACCACCCCCAUCACAUUGCAUUUUAAGUGCCUGCUUAAACUUUUGAUACCCCUCCAGACUAUAAUAUCUUUAGGGGCAUGGUGGUAAACCCAAUGCUUAGUACAUGGUAUGUGUUCUACAGAUAUUUGUAGGAAAAGUAAGGGAAAAAAAUUUAAAAAAUUUUUAAAAACAAUUUGUAAAAUAAAUAACAAACAUCCAGCCACAAAAACCAUCCAGAUGAUAUUACAUAGGUAUUUGACUAAGUUUUACUUUUUGUUCAUAGGAUUCAAUGAACCAUAGGAUUCAUAGCAACCAAAUACAUUUAAAAAUUUCAAAGUGCAAUACCAGUUAAUCAGCACAUAAUCACCUCAUUAAAUCGAAAUACCAAAUUAAAUACUCGUAUUUCUAUAUGACAGUAAAAAUAAAAAUAAAUUAGUUAGUACAUUGCUGCCCAUAAAUAGUUUGACUAUUAGGUUUAUAUUUCACAGAAUGUACUGAUUUAACUGGCUACUUGAAGAGCAUAUAGUCUUUGACUUCACAGUGAUUUUAUAAUUUAGGAAUAGUCUAUUAAUCAGUUUCAAAUAAAUGAUUAAGAGCUUUCUCAUAUAAACAUUACCAAUUAGAAGUUAAACUUUGCACUAGCACUUACAAACAAUAGAAAUGCAUGUUCACUUCUAUUUGCAAAGGACUUUUGUGUUUGGCUGUAUCUUAAACAUUGUAUGAGUUUAAAAAUUUCACUGUUGUCCAAAUGAAAUAGUGAAGCAAAAGAAUAAGACACAAAUCCUCACUUUUACAAAUUUGCACUAUAGGAAAUCUAGCUGGAAAGACUAAAACAUACACAAAUUAACUCUACUGUGUUUCCAAGGUCCAUUAAGCAAGCAGUCUCUUUAGGUCUGUCAAUACUCCAAAGAAAAUGGUAGCAAAACAGAGUCACAAAGAGAAGAUGAUGAACAUUUAUUGAAGCCAAUCACUCUUAACCAGAGGGUGAGAGGAAGAGAG
rnacentral:lncRNA from 1 species